AUAUUAACCUGGUAAAAAUAAUGAUAUAGAAAUUCGAACUCCACCUUUAAAUGAAGUACUGUUAUCUAGUGGAAAUCAUAUAUGUUGUUUCUAAGGACAUGAAUGAAGGAGCCGUCACUAGCGUGAGAACCGUAGUAGGAGAUACAAAGGAGUUUCCUAUAUCAGUGGGUCUGCACCAAGAAUCGACAUUGAACCCUACUUGUCCUUAGUUAUGGAUGAGCUAACCAUCAAGAUACAAGAUGAGGUUCCAUUACUAUUUGCUGAUGAUCUUGCGUUGAUUGACAUGACUAGUGACUGCUUCAACCAAAAGCUUGGACUAUGAAAAACUACUUUAGAGAGUAUGGGUUUGAGUUUAAGUAGAGGUAAGCUUGGAUACAUGCACAACAAGUUCAGUCAACACGAGAAGAGGAAAGUUGAGGAUCCCCAUCAGUAGCAAUGACCAUUUCAUGCAAAGCUAGUGAUUCUUGUUUAAGGUCAUCUAACUCGGUCAGCUGUAGCUUAUCAACUAACCUCCUUAGGACAUCAUGAUCUACAGCGGCGUCAUUACUCCUGCUAUAAAGAGACAGC
rnacentral:lncRNA from 1 species